CUCUCUCUCUCUUUCCUGCUCCGCCGCGGUGAGACGUACUUGCUUCUCCUCACCUUCUACCGUGAUUCUGGACUAGACAGAAGACUACAGUUCAAUAAGAAGGAAACACAUUCAUUUUCAGUAUUGUUAAUAAAGAAGCUUACCUAAAAGAAGGAAAUCAAAACAAGAUAAUCUACACUGCAACUAGGGGAGGCUAUUGAAUGUGAUGGUCCCCUCAGAUGCCUAGAGGAAGAUGAACAAUGGUAAUCAGAUAUCCUAAAGUUAUCUUUAGGGCACUGGCAAAAUAGCAGCAAUGCCUGGUGGAAGCUGACUUUGUGCAUACACAUGAGAGCCCACAGAAAACUUCAAACUUCAUGGAAAUAAAACCUUCAGCUGCAGCUAAGAAUUUGGAGGUUACUGAAGGAGGUUACUUUUUCAAGAGCAGAAGUAAGGAUUCCACUGAAUUUGCUCACCAAAGAUAAGUCAGCAAAGAAAACUUACUGAAGAAUACAGACAGCAUAUCAGCUCCUGCUUUCCAGACAAACUUCCUGGGUCUUGGGAAGAAGAAAGCCUCAGACUAAGAACUCUCUCUGGACUCAGACAGCCUGAAUUCAAAUCCCAUCUCUAUUCUUACUAGUCAUAUGAACACAGGAGAACCAUAUCCAUUCAGCUCACUUUGGACCACCUGUGGAGCCUGAUAACCAGGGAACAGAGAACCUGUUGAGAUCCAAAUUUGUGUGCCAGAUCACAAACUCAUCUGAAGCAGAUGCCACGUGUUACACUGUUAUGUCUCUCAGAGACUCCAGCACUUUGAAAGUAUUAGGCCUUGCUUAUUGAGAUGAAUAUUUUUUUCUAGGCAUGUCCCAAAGUUCUCAGCAUAGCUACAACCCUGAUUUUCACAGGAUUUUCAUUAAAAUUAGGUUCUAGAGCAU
rnacentral:lncRNA from 1 species